GAUGAACGCUAGCGGCAGGCUUAACACGUGCAAGUCGAACGGCAGCACAGGUAGCAAUACUGGGUGGCGAGUGGCGCACGGGUGCGUAACGCGUAUGCAACCUACCUUUAACUGGGAGAUAGCCCGAAGAAAUUCGGAUUAAUACCCCAUAAUAUAUGUCUUUCGCAUGUUAGACAUAUUAAAGCUUCGGCGGUUAAAGAUGGGCAUGCGUAACAUUAGCUAGUUGGUAAGGUAACGGCUUACCAAGGCUACGAUGUUUAGGGGGGCCUGAGAGGGUUAUCCCCCACACUGGAACUGAGACACGGUCCAGACUCCUACGGGAGGCAGCAGUGAGGAAUAUUGGUCAAUGGACGAAAGUCUGAACCAGCCAUGCCGCGUGCAGGAAGACGGCCCUACGGGUUGUAAACUGCUUUUGUAUAGGAAUAAACCCCCGAACGUGUUCGGGGCUGAAGGUACUAUACGAAUAAGCACCGGCUAACUCCGUG
rnacentral:rRNA from 1 species